rnacentral:rRNA from 1 species
ACACGGAACUGACCGGUCAUAAACCGGAGGAAGGUGGGGAUGGACGUCGAAGUCAGCAUGGCCUUUAUAUCCUGGGCUACACACACGCUACAAUGGGAAGGGACAAUAGGUUGCGAAGCCGCGAGGCGGAGCCAAUCCAGCAAAACUUCCCUCAGUUCAGAUUGCAGGCUGCAACUCGCCUGCAUGAAGUUGGAGUUGCUAGUAAACGCAGGUCAGCCAUACUGCGUUGAAUACGUUCCCGGGGCUU